rnacentral:rRNA from 1 species
CGCGUGAGGAUCUGCCUACAGGAUGGGGACAACAGUUGGAAACGGCUGCUAAAACCCAAUGUGCCGAGAGGUGAAAUAUUUAUAGCCUGUAGAUGAGCUCGCGUCUGAUUAGCUAGUUGGUGGAGUAAUGGUUUACCAAGGCGACGAUCAGUAGCUGGUCUGAGAGGACGAUCAGCCACACUGGGACUGAGACACGGCCCAGACUCCUACGGGAGGCAGCAGUGGGGAAUUUUCCGCAAUGGGCGCAAGCCUGACGGAGCAACGCCGCGUGAGGGAGGAAGGCCUGUGGGUUGUAAACCU